AUUGUCGAAAACUUCGUUUUUUAGAGCCAUCAACUUCUUUAACUCAAACUACUGAAAUAACAGUACUGUAAUGUUAUAUUAUGCAACGGCAUGUUUGUGAAUUUAUUUAUUGAUUUAAGCAAUAACUGUGCCUUGAUGUUUUAUCUAUUGUUGUUGUUGUUGUUUUUUUUUUUUACCCAAGUUGUUCUUCAAUUUUUAUUGCAUUUAUUUCAGCUUGUGGAGAAGCACUCAUCAUUUCGUUGUAUGCACAGCAUAUAAUGACUUAACGGCUUUUGAUUGAUUUGCUUUAUAUUUGUAACAGUUGGCACUCAGAGCAGUGCAGUAUUUCAUUAUUUCAUUACAUAGGAAUACAAUUUUCUUAUUAACUAUAUAUUUAGCAGUGUUUCCAUUCAAAUAUAUUUUUCAAAUUAAAUUUCAUUUGCCUAUAUUUUGCUUUGUAAAUGUAUUCUAUUUUUAUCACACAAAAUCGAAAUCAGCAUACUUUUGACCACCUGAAUGCAGUCAGAGCAGGCGUCACUGGAAUGACGUCAUCUGUGGUAUAUAACAGGCCCGAGCCCCCUCUUUCAGUCAUCUCGUGGCCACCUGCUGCUUGUCUGAUUCUUCAGUAUCUCACUCAAGCAGUUGCCCAAGUCCACUUGCAGCAAGAUGAAGCUCUCUGUCGUCUUCUUCGGUGCGCUCCUUCUGCUCCUUGCACUUUCAACACCGAUUGUCUGUGGACAGAACACCACAGAUGGGCCUAUGAAUGGAACCUCGAUUCUAUCCACUGUGGGGCCAACCAUCACCAAGACCCCCGUUAAGAAUGCAUUCUCCAGGGUCAAAGGCCACCCCUUGCUGUUGCUGGCUUUCACCUUCGCCCCUUUGCUCCACAGUUGGUGGUGCUGAUGCUUUCGUUUGUGGCUCUACUCACUGGACAUUAAGCGUUCCAUGGCCUAAUUGGCACUUAAUCACUGGGUUUCUCAAAAGCUAACACUGGAGUGUUUUCACCAAGUAGUGGGAGUAUUGCACGGACUGGAUUUUCUACCAGGAACUAACUCACUAUGUGCCAUUCAAUAUUUGCUUUUUGACUUUAUGUCCAGAGAAUUUUUUUUUUUUUUUUAAAUUUUGUAAAGCUGAUGUUUUGAAGAAAAAAAUGCCUUUUUAGAUCUUAACUUUUUGUAAAUCCAAUAAAUGUUCAAGUGAUUCUG